UUUUUUUUUUUUAAUGAGAGAGAGAGAGAAAGGGAAAGAGUGUGCAAGCUGGGGAGAGUGACAGAUGAAGAGAGAGAAUCUUAAGCAGGCUCCAUGCUCAGCAUGGUGCGUGACAUGGGGCUUGAUCCCACGACCCUGGGAAUUUGACUUGAGCUGAAAUCAUGAUUCAGACACUUAACCAACUGAGUCACCCAGGCAGCCCAGUAGUUAAUUCUUAUUAUCUCCAUUUUACAGACCAAGUAAUGGAGGCUUAGAGAUGUUAUGUAAAUUGCCUGAUGACAAAUAGAAAGUGACCAAUCUGGACCUUAGUUCCAGAGAAUAUGAUCUUAACUACUAUUCCAUACUGGGCCUGGAGUGGAAGAGUCUACUUUAUUUUUUUAAUGUUUAUAUAUUUAUUUUUGAGAGAAUGAGAGAGAGUGAGUGGGAAGGGGCAGAGAGAGAGAGAGAGAGGAGAGAGAGAAUCCCAAACAGUCUCCAUGCUGUCAGCACAGAGCUCGAGGUGGGGCUCGAUCCCAUGAACCAUGAAAUCAUGACCUGAGCCAAAAUCAAGAGUUGGGUGCUUAACCAACAGAGCCACCCAGGCACCCCUGAUUCUACUUUUCUAAGAAAUCUGGAGUCAGACUUGAGUUUGAGUCCUGCCCCCUUUGCUUCCUAGCUCUGUAUCCUUCAGCAAGUCUACUUACCUCAUAAGGCUGUGAAGAUGAUGUGAGAUAAUGAAUGGAAAGUUCUUACAUGCUUGGGUCACAGGCAUGCAUCCAGCAAGGGAACUAGCAGGUCUAGCUGUGACUGGUGGGAAGGUCAACUGAAAGUGAAGGACCAGAGCCUAUCCUUGCUCACAGACAUGAGUCCACUCCUACCAGGCGUCUGAGAGACGUGGCAGAGGUUUCGUGAAGGCUUGAGGAUGGAAGAGACUUCCCUUGCAGAGAUCAAGGUCAAGUUCAAGCUACAGUCAAGAACUCUGCUCCAAACCAUAAUAAGAUACCAUUCCACACUCGCUAGGUUGGCCAUAAUAAAAUAGAUAGACAAUAAAAAGUAUUAAUGGGGAUAUAGAGAAAUUGGAACCCUCAUACAUUGCUGGUGGAAAUAAAGGGUGUAGCUACUUUGGAAAACAGUUUGGCAGUUCCUCAAAAUGUUAAACAUAGAGUUAUUAUAUGACCUAGAAACCCCACUCUUAGGUAUAUACCCCCCAAAAUGAAAACACGUUUACACAGAAACCUGUACAAAAUACUCAUAGCCCAGCAUUGUUCAUAAUAGACAAAAGGUGGAAACAACCCAAAUGUCCAUCAACUAAUGAAUGGAUAAACAAAAUGAAUCUCCAUGGGAUAGAAUAUCAUUCAGUAGUAAGAAUGAAGUAGCAGCACAUGAUAUGACAUGUUUGAACCCUGAAAACAUUAUACCAAGUGAAAGAAGCCAGUCACAAAAGACCAGAUAUUAUGAUUCCAUCCAUAUGAAAUAUUCAGAACAGACAUGACCAUGACAGAGCACGGGUUAGUGGUUGCCUGGGGCUAGGGCCAGGGUUGGGGGAUCGGAAGGGGGGACCAGGAAAGACCAGUGACUGCUAAUGGGUGCAGGUUUCAUUUUACACUAUUGGAAAGGUUCCUAAAAUUAGAUACUGGUGAUGGUUGCACAACUCUGUGAAUAUAAUAAAAACCACUGAAUUGUACACUUUGAAAGAGUGAAUUUUAUGGUAUGUGAAUUAUAUCUCAAUAAAGAUGUCAUUAAUAAAAA